rnacentral:rRNA from 1 species
GACGAACGCUGGCGGCGUGCUUAACACAUGCAAGUCGAACGGAAAGGCCCUGCUUUUGUGGGGUGCUCGAGUGGCGAACGGGUGAGUAACACGUGAGUAACCUGCCCUUGACUUUGGGAUAACUUCAGGAAACUGGGGCUAAUACCGGAUAGGAGCUCCUGCUGCAUGGUGGGGGUUGGAAAGUUUCGGCGGUUGGGGAUGGACUCGCGGCUUAUCAGCUUGUUGGUGGGGUAGUGGCUUACCAAGGCUUUGACGGGUAGCCGGCCUGAGAGGGUGACCGGCAACAUGGGGACUGAGAUACGGCCCAGACUCCUACGGGAGGCAGCAGUGGGGAAUAUUGCACAAUGGGCGGAAGCCUGAUGCAGCAACGCCGCGUGCGGGAUGACGCCUUCGGGUUGUAAACCGCUUUCGCCUGUGACGAAGCGUGAGUGACGGUAAUGGGUAAAGAAGCACCGGCUAACUACGUG